rnacentral:rRNA from 1 species
AUGGGCCACCUGCACGCCCUCUCUGAUCAGGAAGUCCGGCAGCAUGGAGGUGACCUGCUUCCGGUAGAACGAGAGCUCCAUGAGCCGCCGCGCCGUGCGCGCGUCCAGCGGCAUGAGCAAGUCCGCCGCGCUCGCCCACUCGCCGCCGGCGCGCUCGAGGAACGCCCUGUCGUCCUCCGCCGUCUUGAGCAGGUCGGAGUUGGAUAUCACCACGGGGCCGACCCUCGCGGGCCCCGCCGCGCGCGCCAGGGAGUAGGCCACGAACCCGCCGUAGCUCGUGCCGGCCACGGCGACGCGCGCCGUCGCCGCGAGGCCCGGGAGCGCGUCGAGCAGCGCGGCCAGCGCGGCGGCCUGCGCCGACUCGGAGGGCGCCGGGGAGGAGGGGCAUGGGGAGGAGCCGCCGAAGCAGAGCAGGUCCGGGACGACGACGUGGAAGCGGCGGGAGAAGGGGCCCACCUGUCGGCGCCACUGCCAUGUGGCCAUGGGCCCGAAGCCGUGGAUGAGGAGGAGCGGCGGCAGGCGCGGCUCCCCCGGCGGCGCCCAGUAGUGGAUCGUUCGAGCCCCGCCGCCCUCGCCGGGGUCGCAGGGGAGGGUGACGGUGUGGGGGCAGAGGCCGGCGGCGUGGAAGGCGCGGCGCGAGAGGUACUCCAUCACGGGGAGGAAGCUGAAGCCCAUGGUGGCGCGGCGCCGAGCACGUGCACCAGUGCAGCAGCUGGAGCGACGAAAUGA